rnacentral:lncRNA from 10 species
CUUCUAGGUAUCUGAAGAUGUUGAAGACCAUUUCCUGGAACAGCAGAGGUAAAUGCCCAGAGGAUGAGAACACAUAGCCAUUAGGAGAGCCUGAAAGUUCAGUGUGACUGAAAGAUGAAGUUCAAGAGAAGGGACAAACUGCAAAACACAAGCUGGAGAGUUUUAGAGAGACUGUGGAAUGGAAUGACUCUCCAGAGCUGCAGAUUGAAGGCAUAUUUUCAUCUGACUUUG